rnacentral:rRNA from 1 species
CAACUUGAGAGUUUGAUCCUGGCUCAGAACGAACGCUGGCGGCACGCCUAACACAUGCAAGUCGAGCGGGAUCUUCGGAUCUAGCGGCGGACGGGUUAGUAACGCGUGGGAACGUACCCAGAUCUACGGAAUAGCCUCGGGAAACUGAGAGUAAUACCGUAUACGCCCUUCGGGGGAAAGAUUUAUCGGAUUUGGAUCGGCCCGCGUAAGAUUAGAUAGUUGGUGGGGUAAUGGCCUACCAAGUCUACGAUCUUUAGCUGGUUUGAG